UCCCGUAAUCAUAUUUCCAGAAAUUUCGGAUCAGCUUUCCUAUUCGAUGAAAAUGCCCGUUAGGGCUGGCAUGGUGAGCAUCGGCUUCUGCCGCAGCCGCCGUCCUCCUCCUUGCAGCUUCCUUCAUCGCAGCUCCCUCCUCUAGCCCUGCAGCUUCGUGGGUGAGCGGAACGGCGUUGGCGGUAAACAGUUUUCGUCUGGCGACAUCUGGUCCGUGUGCCGGCUGCCGUGAAGGUCUUCAAAGCUCGUCCGGAAGCCUGCUUCAAAAGGGACUGGUUAAGAAGCACUGGAGUUCUCCGUAUUCUGCGAAGCUUUUGUUCCUCCCAUCGUCUUCUCAACCAACCGAAAGCUUUGAGAUUUUCACCAACUGCAGGUGAUCCUAAUGCAGCCCAGCAAAUUACCUUUAUAUCGUCACUUAGAAUGUGAUGUAAAGGUUCGGUCAAAGACUAAAUAAUUGGAUCUCCAAUGAGUAAAAAGAUAAAAGACAAGAAAGAGAGCAGUAGUAGGGGCAUGGUGGUCAACAUGGGCAAAAUGUGAUGGCUGAUAAACUUGCAGUAAAUAGUUUGGCAGAAGGCUUGUGCCUGGGAAGGCGAGUAAGCUGUUUCUCGUGGCAAGGGAGACUCACUGGUCAUUGGGAUGCACAUUGCCUAGUUGACGCAAUCCAUUGAUAGUUGAAACCCGUGAAGAAGUCCAUGGACCAGGUGACAGAUUGUAGGGCGGCCUGUGAAUGGAAGGUAAUUGAAACUCACGCUGCGGCACAUUUAUGAGGUCUGAUUAUGGUGAUGGAAGAUGAAUUGGCUGCUGAACCACUGUAUCCUACAGUUGUAAAUAACAAUAGCAUACAUUAGCAUGUCCAGCUAGUUGAAAACAUGUUGCUUUGUCUGACUCAAAGUGAUGGUUGGUGAAAAUUUGCUUUCUAUUACCAGCUGUCUGUUGCUAAUAUGGAUGGAACGAAAGAUAGGAAAGACCAUGGGUUUUUGUCCUUGCUGUGCUCAGACUUUUUAGCUCCACUAUGCAAAAUGGUACAAAACAUAGAUCAUGGGAUUUAUCUUUUCCGUCC